rnacentral:lncRNA from 1 species
CCUUUAAACCUACAAAAUGAACAAACAAGAUUAGUAGUAAAAGCUUCUCACUAACUCUAGUAUUUACUCAAUUUUGUGAUCCUCACAAUUGGAGCGGUGAAUAUUGAAAGUUGCUUAUACUCCGGUAGUCAAUAGGAUGUCAAUUUUACUUGGCAGCCGAAAUAGAUUCUUGUUUGAUUGACUCAAGACACAAGAUAGAAAAUUCUACUUACGAACUUGAAACAAAAAGUUACGAUGAAUUAAAAAUGAGAAAAGCACAUAAAUAACUAAGACACGACAAAAACGGAUUCAAAAACUAAUUCACAAUCUAGUAGGUGAUUACUAGUUGCUAAUUAGUACUAGAAUCAAGAAAUGAAACUAAAAACAAAGAAAAGAAACUUUAAAAUCUGAAAUUUGAGCUUCAAGGUUUUUUUGGGAACGUUGAUGACGUGGCACUUAGAUGAUGUGGCAAUUUGGUGACAUGGCAGUUUGCAAUUUGAAUUGGUCAAAUUUUUAAUUUGGGAGAGUGUAAAAUCUGCUAAAGGAGGGAAAAUCACAAGACUUAGAGCCUUUUUCAAAAUUCAAAAGACUUUGACUUUACUUGCACCUUUUUGGCAAGACACCUUUUUGAAAGCCUUUGUCUCCUUUCCUUUUUUGUUUGUCUUGGUAUGUGCCCUUACUCUCUUUUGGUAAUGAGUCUUUUUGAAAGUCCUAUUGUCCCCUUUCUUUUUUUGUAUGUUCUUUGGGAUAUGUUUCAAGACUAACAAAAGACUACACUCUUUUCUCCACUCUUUAAGAUCAAACCACACCUAUUGAAUGUUCUUNNNNNNNNNNNNNNNNNNNNNNNNNNNNNNNNNNNNNNNNNNNNNNNNNNNNNNNNNNNNNNNNNNNNNNNNNNNNNNNNNNNNNNNNNNNNNNNNNNNNNNNNNNNNNNNNNNNNNNNNNNNNNNNNNNNNNNNNNNNNNNNNNNNNNNNNNNNNNNNNNNNNNNNNNNNNNNNNNNNGAGCUUCACCUUACUAGUUUCUUCAACCUUAAACUCAACAAUGGUGAACAACUCAAAACCACCCGGAUUAAGCUCAAAUCCAAGAUCUAGACCCACUUAGUGUUAGGAAACAAGAACCUAACACUAGAAACAAACAAAACAUACUAAAAUCUCCUAAAUCUAAGUCUCAAAUUUUAGCUCAAACACAAAAAUGGGACAGAUUUCUUUUUUUGAGGUUUUUGGUUUUUCAACACUUUUUCUUAAUUUUUCAACUAACAAGUCCAGAUUGAUUUUGUUGGAACAAAAUCAAUCCUUGCUUUGAUACCAAAUGAUACGGGGAAGACAAGAGAAGGCUCAAAAACUACUCAAAACAGUCCACAAAUCAACUAGAACCCGAGGACCCCUUUGAGAGAAACUUUCGGCCAACAAUAACAACAUAAGGAUUACAAGAUACAAGGUGNNNNNNNNNNNNNNNNNNNNNNNNNNNNNNNNNNNNNNNNNNNNNNGGAUUCAACACAAACAUAAGGAAAAUUGCAUAGAAAAUAAAGAUAGAUAGUGAGACCAAGAUUAUUACAAGAUUAAGAACCAAGUGUAUUUCAACACUAACCCCUAAUGAAUGUAACAAUAAAAACCACUCUUACGGUGACCACCAAGGGAAUAACUCACCUCAAGAUCUACCAUUUCUAAGCAAAGAUCAAUAUUGGCUUUUCCAAGCCCUAUGCUAAGGAUGGCUUUUCCAAGCCCUACAACUAAGGGUGUUACACUCUCAAAAGAGAGAAAAUAUGUCUUUCAAUACUUUUAUCAUUUAAAAUCUGCCAAGAAAUGAGCUAAAAUGACCUAUUUAUAGUGUAUUACAAAAGAAGACAAAAAGACCACUUUGCCCUUAAUGAUAGGUGCGGCCAUGGUGUGUAAAUACACCAUGUGUAAUGUCCAAAAUACCCUUAAUUAAGGUCCAAAACCGUGAGUCCUCAAUCUUAAAUUUUCCAAGCAAUCUUCCACACGCGAGAUUGCUUUAAGUUAUGCUCAAAACGGGUCCUCCAUGCAUGUUCUUAUAUUCUCGAGGAGACCAAGUCUUGAGCCUCUAUAUGUUGGCCUUCAAAGAUGUCAUCAAAAGAUAAAAUGGCCAUUUGUCCCGUAUCAAACAGCCAAAAUUUUUACAUACCCAUUUCUCACCCCAACACUUUCUACAACACCAUCACAUGAGUCUAUCUGAUUUAUCUAGAAUAAUUUUGGUGUGAUAAUGCUAAUGAUGGUCUGGAUUGUAAUGCUUACAAGUACUAAGCUGCAUGGAUGGGAGAUUUUGACAACACCAGGUUCAUAUUCUCCAAAUGCCAAAACCUCUACUACAGUGAUCUUUUAAGGACAAAAUUACUCCUAAAAAGGGGUGUUUUCCUUGAUCAAGUAGAGGAGAAGCUCCCAACAUUCCAUGCCCGACUCAUUGCCAUCGGGUGGAUGUGUUUUUCCCCAGACCCUGCUAUGCCAAUGAGUAUUUGGUAUGUGAGUUCUACGUGAAACUUAGCGUAGUUUCUCUCAUAAACCUAGUGAUGGCGAUUUAGGGUAAGCAAGUGAACUUUGCAUUUGAGCGGAUUAAUGAGAUAUAUGGGCUCCCAGAUGUUGAUAUGGAGUAGUUCUAAGCAAAAGGAUGUGAGCCAAGAACCUGGAUGGCAAACCUAUUAUGUCCGGGUAAAGAAGUACUCUGGGACACCACCAAGAGAGAUAUUUUGAUGAAUGACUUUAUAGCUGAGGCAAGGCUUUGGCUAAAUAUCAUUUAUUGCCGAGUAUCGACAUGUACACACAUGAUUACAGUCACUGAUAUACGAGCUUGGAUGGUGGCUUAUAUCCUAUCUGGUAUUUCUCUGAAUGUGGGUGAGAUUGUGAUUUCAGAGUGGAGGUAUUCAAGACUCAUGGAGGUACACUUUUUCUUCUUUGUUUUCUUAUUACUAAGUUAUGCAACAUGGCAGAAGUGGAGGAAUAUAUUGCAGAUACCUGGGUGCACCCAAACCCCCACAUUUUUUCAUUAAAAUUUUUGGGCGACGAUGCCCUUAAUUAGAGAAAGAAGAGAAAGGUAGACUUAGGCAAUGCAACCCAGGAGGAUACAAACUCUUAUAGACUUUCUUCAGCAAACUCUCUGGAUGAGAUCUCAGGGCAGCUGCGGGUGAUAAGGGAGCUGAUUUCCAGUUUGCCUCAAGGACCAGGAGAGUCCUCCAUGGCUCGCCACUCAUAUGUGACUCGGUCGGAUUAUGACAUGUACCACGAGGAGCAGAAGAAGUAGGAAUCCACUAUUUCUAGGUUGGAGAGAGCUUACUCAACCUAAGCUAGAUCACAUAAAGACCUCAGGGACUCUCAUGAGAAGAUAAAGAAGAGGUAUAAGAAGAGGGUAAAAUUAUUUAGCAAGAUGUGGAAAGGGGUAAAGGGCUUGUAAAAGGUCCUAAAACCCCACAAUAGAUUGCCUUCUCCUCGGGUAAAGAAUGAUGAGGCUUCUUCGGAUUGGUCAACUGAUGAUGCCGGUGGUGAUGGUGCAGAGUCAGCAGGAGAAAGCAGCUCCUGAUGCAGAUGUAGAGAGGACCCUUACCUUUCGUCUAUGCUUUUAUUCAUUAUGCAGUGGGGACACUGCUAGCCUUUCAGUUGGGCUUGACUUUCCCUAUAUUUGUAUUGUUUUGAUGUGUUGCCAGAUAUUUGUAUAUUAUUGUGAUGACGUUGUGGAUGCUAUUUUUAUUUUGUUUUGGGAUUUUAUAUUUGGGCACUCUGAUGGAGCCUAUAUUUUUAUGGAUUAUCAUGUAUUUUUAUUUUUGUUUAUCUUUUUUGUUUUAUUUUAUUUUGAUUAUGAUGAUGCAUGACUAUCCUUCCCCUAUGCUAGAUUGAGUGAUGACAUUCGUAAGGGUAAAGUAUCGUGUUUGGGUUUUGAGCCAUAGAUGCAGGGAAAUUCUGCAUAUCCAUGGCAUCUAAGUCAUUAAUGCAAGAGAAGUCGGAGUACCUGUGGCAUUAUAAAUUUGGGAUCCUAUUAUGCACCAUUAGCCAAAUAUGAAUAGCCAUAUGGUUGGUUUUCCCAUAUUAAGCCGAAAUGUAAGGCUAAAGCUUUGGUUGUAGCCGUGAGCGUAGUGCAAAGGCAAAACAAUCAAUCCCCUCUGUCCAAUUUUUUUUUUCAAAAAUCAAGGGCAUGGACGUGAGCAACCUUGUAACAAAACUCUUUUCUUUGUGACUCCAUAAAUGUUUGACUUGUUAGUAGUGAUAAAUACUUUAAUUUUGUCUCUAAUGGGAGGGGCAAUUAAGUCUUCUUGCCCAAUUUUGCAUGCGAUGUCUGGUGAGCUAUUUGCAUUCAUCUCUUGGAUACUUGUGUUAUCUAGAACUAGCCCCGCUAGUCUCUUAAAGAUAUUUUUUACUGUAUUUUGUUGGGGAAGUGAUCGUAGGCCUUCUUUGUGACAUUGGAAACCUACUUUAGCCUAAAAAGCCUACCCAUGCAUAAAUAUAAUUCCUAGUUACCCUUUUUGAGCCUUUAGACCUUUCUUUGGCAAACACAUUACAAGUCAUGAACCAUUCUUUUUAUCUUUCUUUUGAACCAUACCCUCUUUGAACUUAAAAAUGCAACUUGAGGCUAAAAGAUUAAGUUGGGGUGGUGAUGAUUGAUGGAAGUAAGUAUAGGGCCACGAAGUGGUAAGCGAAAUACCUAAGUGCCUAAGUAUUGAAAACAAAUGAAUAGAAAAACAAAGCGUCCAACAAAGGAGAGAAUUGCAUGAAAAUUACAAGAAAAAAGAAAUAGAAGAAAAUGGUUGAAUAAAGGAAGAAAAAAGUAGGCAUUUGAAAAGAAAACGGAUCAAAGAGGAGUGGCUCUUAGUAAAAAAAGUGGAUUAAAUAGUGUGAUGUAGAUGUUCAAGGAAGGGUGUAGCCAUGUUGUUCCAAAAUGAUAUCCUACCCUAACUCGAACCUACACUACAACCUCAAAAAGUUCUUUAAGAUCUUCAACCUUUUACUUUUUUUUAUAGUGGCGAUUGAAAAUAUGGGCAAACCUAUGGUAUGACACUUCUGGACAUAGAGAGUGUUUUUUAUAAGGGAGAGAGUUUUUGCACUUAAAUUCCUUGUUGCAUAUUUGGUAGCUUGGUGUGUGGAAUUUUCUUUCUUGUUAGGAGGCAUUUGAACGAGUUGAGGUAGGUGAUUUUGUCAUCUUCUGAGCAAUGACGCAAAUGGAGUAUAGCUUAGUUUUGAUCAAAAGUGAGUCACUUAUUAUCUUAUGAGUAACUAGUUUUUCCUCUUAGGAUUAUGCUAGAAUAGGGUGCAAUUGCAUGCGGGUUGUGAUUUAUUUGUGCAUAUGUUAAUGUGUUAAUUGAUGGGUUCCAUUGUUGCUUGAGUAAAUUAGUUGGGAUUUGUGGGUGAAAACCCCAAAUACUCAAAUGGUUUUGUGGGUGAAAAUCCUAAGCUUUUGAAAUCUCAAUCCAUCUUUGAAAGAAGGGUUUGGGUAAAUAUUAGGAACCAACAUCAUCCUUGAAAGAGGGAUGUGGGAACCAAAGCAAUAGUAGAUAAUUGUUGGCAUACUUUGCUAAUUUUUCACUAUCUUAGACAUAAGGGUGAUUGUGAAGUUGACUAUUCCUUGGGUAUCAUCCUAGAAAUAGGGAUGUCUAAUUGAGAUAUUGGGUGGCUUUAUUUGACACACUCGUUAGUGCUCGAAAGAGUCAAUGAGUGAAAUCUUUGAGGCUAUGUUGACAAACUAGCCCCAAGGACUUACAACCUAUCCUACCACAUUAUCAUCAAUUAGAACAUGCAUCGAAUUAUCAUGUCUCCAUGCAUAUCUUACCCUUAGGAAAGCAUAAUCCCAAGAUUCGUGCCUAAUUGUUUAGACUCUAAGUAUUUAUAGCCCUGAAUUUGUACUCGAAAUAAACCAAAAAGAAUCAUUAAGUAUGAUAUCUUUCAACCCCCUCCCCUCAUUCCUAUCUUUUUGUACUAUUGGUUUGAAUUUAGCUAGUAUCUAUUAUUUCAAACUAAUUUAGUCGCCAUUCAUAUUGUUCCUCGUGAAUUCGACCUUGACUCCAAAGUUGAGUAAAUAUAUUGACGAUGAUUGCCUUGCACUUAAAUUGACCUGUAAGUUGAGCAUUAUCUUGGGUAUAACAUAACACUAUCCACGACCACCAAUUGACUGAGUAGCCCCACAACCCCCACUGCAGGCACCACUACCUAUGCCUCACGCACUAGAAUCUUUACCUCUCGAUAAUACCCCAUGUUUUCAAGCUCUAGACACCUCAAAAUAUUUUCCAUUAAAUCUUGGUUUCCAACACCAUAAGUCUCACCUUUAAUCCUGUAUCAUGGCAAAAAUUUAUGCAAAUUUUCCCAUAAGAGUCUGUCAGCUGCCAAUAACUAUGACUCACGUGACAACUCGUGACCAGAUAUAACAAGUCAUUACGAGGAGUCAUCAUUACUAUAGGAGGGUCCUUAGUAUUAAGCCUAGUGAUGAUGACCCCACUCCAUGAUUCGUUAUCAGUGAUAACGAAUCAUUAGGAGGGACUUAUGUCCUAAGCAGUAAAUCAUCCAGGAAUCAAGACUUAAACACGACUCCACCCAAUGACUCAUAGUCAGUCGCUACGAGUCAUUAGGAUGGGAGUCGUAGUCAUACCAGAAUGGACCCAAGAUCCAUAGACCUCAGGUUACGACCCAGACCAUGAUUUGUGACCCAUCAUAAUGAGUUGUAAGGUGAGUCAUAAUGACUAGGGGUGGGUUUUCUUGCAUGAAUUUUUAGGGACCUUUAUGUCUUUUCCUACUCCUUUAAAAGCCAAACCCACGUUGUUUAGUCUUUCCAAGGGGUGGUGUAAAAGACUCAAAUUCCCUAAUUCAUGAUAAAAUCAUAUUUUCCACCCAAAGAAAUAAAAAAGGGCAAUUUCUCUUUCCCCAGAGCAAACUAGGGUUUCUCAAGAGAAAGAUCAAAUCCAAGAAAUUCUCCAACGCUUCCACUUUCAGGUAUAUGGAAUUUCAUCAAUGAGACCCUUCCACCCAUUGAGUCCCAAGAACUUCCAAAAUUCACAUGUACAAACCCCUUUUUUUUUUGGAUUCUAGGUUUAAUAUUAGUUUUAUCAACUUUUUCUCUGUUUAUUUUGUUUAUGAACCAUGAGGAUGUAUUUACCCUAUGAGAAUUAUGUCUUCAUAUGUUUGAUAAUGUAUAUUGAGCAUUAUUCAUGACUUUCCAAAAAAAUCCGUCUUAAAUAUUACUAUGAUCAGUUUGCAUUUGUCAGUGCUGGUGGGUUAUGAACACCCGAUACCUUGGUACUCAUGUAUGUUAUAGUCUUUAGGUUACAAGUCAUUUAGAUCAGGAUUGUAUCAUUAAAAUUUAGAACAUUACCAUGUUUAUCAUUUAUCAGCAUUAAAUCAUGUUAAAUAUUUAUCAAUGCCAAUGUCAGUUUAAUUGGGAGUAGUACUUAGCACCAAGUGAACACAUGGAUAAAGGCUCACCCGCCAGUUGAGGGCUGAGACCUUUAGUAGAAGUUCCUGAGUUCCAAAACUGUAUUGCCACCAUAGGUUAUGAGGGUCACCCAGCAGUAGAAGACUGAUACCCUAGUGUCACGACUCGAGGCUACCCCUUGUCGCGACAUGAUGCUUAAGGCCAUAAGUGACCCCAAGCUAACCCAUGAUCUGGUACCUGCUGUGAGUACUGAAUAGAAUAAUAAUAGGAUAACAUCUGCGAAAGAUAAUCUGAUAAAAUACUGGUAUGAUAUAAUACUAAAAUAUAACUCAACAUGUCUAAAACAACUGAAUUGACUUAAAACUAACUAACUGUUUAUCUGUCUGAAAGCCUCUAAAAUCAUAGAAGUUGAUGGGAAAAAUCCCCAACUAACUUCGACUGACUGAACAUGAAAAAAUACUGAAAUAGCGAUAUAACAUUCCAUUCCCUCGAUGGAUGAGGACUCACCACAAUUGCUGCUAGGAAAUGUUGAACUGUCUAAGGAUGACUGGGGAACUGAGCGUCCGAACCCAUGUUAUAAGACAACAUAGCACAUAGAAAAGUAUGUUGUUAGUACUUUGAAUGUACUGGUAUGUGGUGCACAGACUACUGAAGUACAUGUUAAAUCUAAACAUGGAUACUAAAACAUGUAAAAUUGAAAAUGCAGGACUAAGUAUCGUAUACACUGACAUGAUCUGAAUAUCUAAAAUAAUCUGUACCAUUGGUUGAAUAAAUAUUGAAAUUUGACUGCUUGCCCAAGCAAAUCUGAACUAAAGUAUACCGAGUACUGACUGAAACUGUGGGAGCUAUCAUGUAACUGACAUAAACAAUGGGAGUUACCAUGGAGUCCAAUAUCUGACACACAUCAAGGAGGGUUGUUACAUCCUUGCCAUCAGAGUGGAACCUGAGUUAGAGUGAUCACUAAACUGAGCCCAUAUUUGGAAAGGGGAAACGCUCUUUGGUGAGUCCCUAAAUCCUAUGGGGGCACGUAGUUUUUGGGAAGUAGGAUGGGCUGAACCCACACUCUCCUUUCAAUGCUAAAUCCUACUCCCAACUGAAGGACACUUGUGUUAUUCAUGGUUUAACAUAACAUGGUACUGUAGUGUCAAGGCUCAACCUAAACUUGAAUAUAGUAGUAAAAUCAUGGUCUGACUAACUUAUAAUUUGAGAAGUCUAAAACAACAAGCAAACACAUAGGUAUCGGGUGUCAUAACCCACCAGUACUGAAAGAUUAUGAAAUUCCAUAACAAUUCCAGAUCAAGAUAAUAAAGUUCAAAUCAAAAUAUCAACCUCGUAGUUCAGAACGUGAAUAGCACAACUCUUUUUUUGGUUAACUUUUAGGGAUUUUUUCAGUCAAAAAUAAAAAAAUAAAAUAUCUUAACAAGAAUGAACCAACCCAUCCAUUUAAAAACCCAACAAAAAAAUAGCCUACUACUAUAACUCCUACCCGGCCCAGUUCGAAAAUAAAAAAGAAAAAAUACAUAUAAAGAUAGUAGGGUUUCUAAAUUGAGCUAGUCUUCUUCAUUACUUGCCUCCACCUCCUAUACAAUAUUUCCCUUUUCUAAUCAACAUUUCUUCCUUCUUCAGCUCUGGGUCUCAUAUACACGGUGCCUUGGUCGAUCCUACAUGGAGCUUCUUCCAGCUUGCAUAAGUAACUUCUUUCCAUUUCUUUCCCUUUGCUGUUUGUUAGCUUUUUUGUUUUAUUUACUUGAUAUGUUUUCUUAUUCUUCUUCUAUUUCAGCUUUGUUCUCCAGUAGAUGGGACUUUGUUGUGAUUUUGUGAUGCAUUGAGGGAUCUAGUCCACUGAAAACUAUUGCCUCUUCCAAGUAAGUUGAUUUCUACUUCUUUCCCUUUGCUAAUUCCAAAGACAAUUAUUUUGCUUACUCUCUGUACCCCUAAUCUAUAGAUAUGGUUGUUAUAGAGAUAGUGGGAUACUUGAAACCACGAAUAUUUGGAAAGUAAUAUGUUCCUCAAGUUUUUAAAGUUCGAUCUGACCAUCAGACCUUCCCCUUUUGCUGAGAGUCCUUUUUGUUGGUUGAUGAAGAUUAGGCUAAAUAGCCGCUUCACCUUUCUUUGAUACUUUAUUAGUGUGUACAUAUAAUGCCUGUGAAAACUUAGCUUUAGCCUUCCCAGUCCCUUCAUCAUUUUGAUGUGACAGUCUUAGAUAAGGGUAUUGUAAUUUAUCACUGUUAACAAUUCUCUUACUUGUUGCAUGUAACUGCUCAAAUAUUGUGACUAUGAAGUCCCCAUUGUCAAGUGCCCAGUUAGUAAAAAAAUCAUCUAACUGAUUUCCUUCCCUAAGUAUAUGUUGAAACUGUACUUUCUUACUUGACAUUAAAUGCCAAAUUUGUUGUAUACAACCUGCUACACUCUAUGGACAAUUCCUCUCCCUAUUUAAAUUUUUUUGUAUUGAUAAUGAAUCAGUUUGAAUAGUCACCUUAUCAUGAUUGGUAUGACUGCAAUGCCUUACUACCAGUAGAAUAGUAAUUGCUUCUGCUUCCAUAUUAUAAUCUUCUAUUAUGGCUCCUUUUGCAUACAUUAUAUCACCCCACAAAUCUCUCAUAUAGAAUGCAUAUAAACUCAUUCCUGGAUUCCUUUUUGAAGCUCCAUCAGUAUUAUACUUCACCCAUCCCUCCAUAGAAAGUUCCCAUAGCACACUGAAUUUAGCCCUAUCAAAGCAGCCUCACCUACUUCAAACCAAAUAAUAGGAGACCUACAUCUCCUCUCAUAGAGGGUUUUAAAUGGGGCCAUCUGAAUACUAGAGUGGUAACUAUUAUUGAAGGGAAACCUAAUUAAAGGUAAGUGGUUAUACCAACUACCCUUAAAGUCAAUAACACAAGCCCUCAAUAUGUCCUCUAACAUCUAAAUGGUUCGUUAUACCUGACCAUCUAUCUGAGGAUGAAAAGUUAUACUAAGAAAAAUUUGGGUACCAUGACUCUUCUGAAAAUCCUUUCAAAAGUGUGAGGUAAACUGAGUACCUCUAUAUGAAAUGAUAGUCAAUGAAACUCCAUGCAACUUUACUAACUCCCUGCGAUAGAGUCUAGCAUAAUCCUCAGCUGAAAUGAAGUAUGAACUGGCAAGAAAUGGACUGACUUUGUCAUUCUAUUUGCAAUAACCCAUAUUGAAUUAUACUGAGGACACGUACGAGGCAAUCAUGUUACAAAAUUCAUGUUCACCACCUCCCACUUCAAAAUGGGGAUACUAAACUCCUGAAGCAUAAUCCUAAGACAUUGGUGCUCAACCUUAACUUAUUGACAAUUCGAAUAUUUAGACAUAAACUCUGUAAUAUCUUUCUUGAUACCACUCCACCAAUAGAUUUCUCGUAAAUCUUAGUACAUCUUGGUAGCUCCUGGGUAUAUGAAGUAUCACACACCAUGCACCUCAGCUAAUAUUCAUCUCAAACCAUCAGUACACAUAAUGCAUGGUCUGCCUUGAUAUCAAAGCACGCUAUCUCUCCUUGGGAUAAAAUUUCCACCUUUUAGUAUCUUACUGCCUCAUUCAACUUGACUAAACUAGGAUCUCUAUCCUAUUUUUCUUUUACUUCGGCAACCAAUGAAUAUUUUGAACCAUUCUGAACCCAUAUACCACCUUCGGCCGAAUCAACCAACUGAACUCGUAACCUCAUAAGCUGGUGAACCUCACAGACUAUCUCCUUAUUAUCAUCUUCAACAUGAGCAAUACUACACAUAGACAAUCUGCUAAGGGCAUCCACCACUACAUUAGCCUUGUCUGGAUCGUACAACACACUUAUAUCAUAGUCUUUCAAUAAUUCAAGUUACCUUCUCUGAUGAAGAUUCAGGUCUUUCAACAUGAACACAUACUGUAAACUCUUAUGAUCCAUGAACACAUCAAUAUGAACUCUAUAAAGGUAAUGCGCCCAAAUCUUUAAGGCCUAAAAAACAACUGCCAACUCAAGAUCAUGGGUCGGAUAAUUUUUUUAUGGGGUUUAAGCUAUAUAGAGGCUUAGGCAAUGACCUUACCUCUCUGCAUUAAUACACAACCAAGACCAACUCUCAAAGCAUCAAAAUACACUAUAAACUUAUCUAUGCCAUCUGGCAAAGUCAAGACUAGAGCGGAAGUGAGUCAAACCUUCAACUCCUAAAAGUUCUUCUCACAGGAGUCCGACCACUAAAAUUUGAUUUUCUUUGGGUCAGUGUAGACAUGGGAGAAGAAAUAGAAGAAAACCCUUCGACAAACCAUUUGUAAUAGCCAGAAAAGCUCAAGAAACUUCUAAUAUAUAAUAGGGAGAUGGGUCUAGGCCAUUUUCUCAUUGCUUUGGUCUUUUGAGGAUCAAAUUGAAUGCUAUCACCAAAAACUAUGUGACUAAGUAAAGCUGCUGAUCUCAACUAAAAUUCAUAGUUAAUAAACUUAGCAAAUAAAUGAUGAUCUUUAAGGGUCUACAACAAGAUCCUCAGAUGGUCUGCAUGAUCAUUCUCACUAUAGGAAUAGACAAGGAUAUCAUCAAUGAAUACUAUGACAAACAUGUCCAAGUACUGCUUGAGCAUCGUGUUCAUCAAUUCCAUGAAAGCUGCAACAACAUUCAUUAGUUGAAAAGACAUAACUAGGAAUUCAAAGUGACCAUUCCGAGUUCUGAAGGAUAUUUUCAAAAAUUCACACUCUACGACUCUAAGCUGAUGAUAGCUUGAUCUGAGUUCUAUCUUAAAGAAGUAACUUGCACCCUGAAAUUGGUUGAAUAAGUCAUCAAUCCUUAGAAGAGGGUACAUAUUCUUGAUGGUAACUUUGUUCAAUUGAUGGUAGCCGAUGCGAUUUUAAGAGAACCAUCUUUCUUGCACACAAAAAAGACUAGAGUGCCCUAUGGGGGAACACUAGGCCUAAUUAAACCCUUAUCUAAGAGAUCCUUCAAUUUUCUUUCAAUUCUUCAAGCUCAGAUAAAGCCAUUUUUUAAGGUGGAAUAGAGAUAGGCUGGGUGUUUGUAAAGAGGUCUAUUUUGAAGUCGAUCUCCCUUUCGGGAGGAACUCUAAAAAGUUCUUCAGGAAACACUCUAGAAAUUAAUUUAUGAUGGGAGCUAACUUAAGACUUGGGGUUUUAGAAUUUGAGUCCUCGACUUAGACGAGAUGGUAAAUACACUCCUUGGACAUUAUUUUUCUUGCCUUAAGAUAUAAAACAAACUGACCUUCUAGAACUAAAGUACUACCCCCCAAUUAAAUAAUUGGCUCAUUAGGAAACUUGAACUUGACAAUUCUAUUUCUACAGUUAAUUGAGGCAUAGCACGAGUGAAACUAAUGUCGAGAAUGACAUCAAAUUCAGUCAUCUCAAACUUUAGAAGAUCAAUUAAGGUAACUUUUUGAGACACUAUGAUAAGGCAAUUUCUAUAUACCCAUCUUGCUACGAUAAUUUACCCACCGAGGUAGACACUGAGAAAGGAUCCACUAAUAUUUUGGGACUGACACCAAAGUCCACAGCUACAUAAGGAGUCAUAAAGAAAAGUGAAGCUCCGGGGUCCAAUAUUACAUAUACAUGAAGAUGCAAAACUUACAACGUACCCAUAACCACAUCAAAAGAACUUUGUUGAUCAUGUCAAGUUUGGAAAGCAUACAAUCUAUUCUGGCUCUAUCCACUGGUGGCACUGGAUGUGGCACCCUGCCAAGUAGGGCAACCUGCUAGAGCUGAAGAAAGAUUGGACUGGCCUUAUUGGCAUGAAUCACCUCUCUCUGGGAUAUUGUUUGACACUCUUUGAUCAUGUGGCUUGGCUUGCCAUACCCAAAGCACAUAUUAAUACCUGCCCGACAUUCACCUUGAUGGUUUCUACCACAUAUCCUACAAAGCAGGUUGGUAUGACCACUGUUUACAGUACCCUAGGUCUUAGAGCCUAGCGCUCUAUGCCUACUAUCCUACCUAAAUGUAGGCACUAUCACACUGGCUGAAGAUGGAGUUGAGGAUGAAAAUUUUUGGUGGAACUGAGAACGGAUACCACCUAAUGACUUUACCUAUAAAAGUACCCAUCCUUGCCCUUUUAUUCUCUCUUUCUUCCUUCUUAUUUUUCUCUUUCUCAAUCUGUUGAGCAUGAACCAUAAGUCUAGAUAGGUCCAUGUCCUUAAUUAACAUGGUAAUCCUACACUAUUUGACUAUACUAUCAGAUACACUAGAUACGAACUUACUCAUCCUGGACCUAGAGUUAGCCACCAUAGUAGGAGCAUACCUCACCAACAGAGUGAACUUGAGAGAGUAUUACUUCAUGCUCAUACUAACCUACUUCAAGUGUAUGAACUCCUAAACCUUAGACUCCUCUAACUCUAUUAGGAAGAACCUAUCUAAGAAAGAUGUGGCAAACUCCUUCCACUUCAUAGGCUCUACUUCCAUACCCCUAUCUUCCUUCCACUACUUGAACCAAGUAUAAUCUACUCCCUAUAACUGAUAUGCAGCUAAGUCUGCACUCUCACUAGUAGUUACACCAAUAAUAUCCAUCAUUUUUAGCAUAAUAUCCAAAAACUCCUAUAGAUUCUCUUCAAACUUGGAUCCUAAAAAUAAAGGGCGUUCAUUCGAGUGAAGUCCCAAAUUAUAGCUGCAGUUGUAUUCACCACUGAAUUGACUGGAGUAACAGCCUGUUGGUUGUUCUGAGCAGCAAUAAAAUAGGUUAAAGCCAUAAAAAUAGCUGAACUUAGCGUGGGAGACAUAUCAUUCAGGGGAUCUUCCUGAACAGAUGGCGUGGGUUGAUCCCUGUUCCUUUUUUUGUUGUUCCUUAUAGGAGGCAUUAUCUAUAAAUAGAAUGAAGGACAAGUUGGAAAAGAAGGAAUUCAAUAAAUCUUAAUCUCUUUCGCAUGAUAUGCACACGAAAACAUGGGAAACUUUCCUAAUAAUAUCUUGUAGCCUCUUGCCUAUAUGUGUGGUAUGUUUUACACCCAUUCACAAGACUCUACUCAAUGAAUCUUUUAGAUACCCUAGGAUACUUUAAAACGUUGGGCUCUUAUAUCAAAUUUUGUCAUGACCCGAGGCUACCCCUAAUCGUGAUAUGAUGCUUAAGUCCACAAGUGAACCCAAGCUAACCCAUGAUCUAGUAUCUGCUGUGAGCACUGAAUAGAAUAAUAAUAGGAUAACAUGUUUGGAAGAUAAUCUGAUAAAUACUGGUAUGAUGUAACACUAAAAUAUAAUUCAACUUGUCUGAAAUAACUGAAUAGACUAAAAACUAACUAACUGUCUAUCUGUUUGAAAGCCUCUAAAAUUAUAAGGAGUUGAUGUGACAAACCCCUAACUAACUCCGACUGACUAAAAUAAAGAAAUAUUGAAAUAAUGAUAAAAUAUGCCAUGCCCUUGAUGGAUGAGGACACACCACUACUGAAGCUGGGGAAUGCUGAUCUGUCUAAGAAUGACUGGGGAAAUGACCAUCUGAACCUAUGUUAUAAGUUAAUAUAGCAUAGAAAAAAGUAUAUGGUUAUUACUUUGAAUGUACAGGUAUGUAAGGCACGAACUACUAAAGUACAUGUAAAAUCUAGACAUGGAUGCAAGAACAUGUAAAACUGAAUAUGCAGGACCAAGUAUUACAUACACUGACAUGAUCUAAAUAUCUAAAAUAAUCUAUAUAACUGGUUGAAUAAAUAUUGAGAUCUGACUACUUAGCCAAGCAAAUCUAAACUAAAAUUACCAAGUACUGAUUGAAACUGUGGGAGCUAUCAUGUAACCGACAUAAGCCAUGUAGUUACCAUGGAGUCCAAUGUCUGACCCACAUUAGGGAGAGUUGUUAUAUCCUUGCCAUCAGAGUGGAACUUGAACUGGAGUGAUCACAAAACUGAGCCCAUAUUGGGUAAGGGGAAACACUCUUUGGCGAGUCCCUAAAUCCUACGAGGGCAUGUAGUUUUUGGGUACGAUGUACUGAACCCACUUUUGUCUCGGUGCCAAAUCCUACUCCCAAUUGAAGGAUAUUGGUGUUAUUCAUGGUUUAACAUAACAUGGUACUAUACUGACAAGGCUUCUACCUAAACUUAAAUAUAGUAAUAAAAUCAUGGUCUGACUAACUUAUAAUUUGAAAAGUCUAAAACAACAAGUAAACACAUAGGUAUCGGGUAUUCAUAACCCACCAACACUAAACAAUUAUUAAAUUCCAUAAUAAUUCCAGAUCAAGAUAAUGAAGUUCAAAUUAAAAUAUCAACCUUGUAGUUCAAAACGUGAAUAGGGACAACUCUUAUGUUUCAUCUCAGACAUACAUGACCCCCGUAUUCAGUUGUCCAUCUAUCCAGUUUAUACAACACAUGUUAUACUUUGUCUUGCAUUCAGUUUACCUAUUCAUGUAUUCAUGCUCAGUUAUACUAUUUAGUUUUCUUAUCUAACAUACUCAGUACAUUCAAAGUACUGAUCGCAUACUUUCUUUUACACUAUAGUAUCUUAAUAUAGGUUCGAAUGCUUAGUUUCCAGAUUGCACCUAAUCCGUCCUUGUGCCACUCAGCAGCAAUUGUGGUGAGUUCUUAUCCUUCAAGGACUGGUGAUCAGUUGUUAUUUUUAGUACCUUAUUUUAUUUUAGUCAGUUAGAGUUAGUUGGGGGCUUGUCCCAUAUACUUCUCAUGUUUUAGAGGCAUUCAAAUAAUCAGACAUAUUUUCUAUUUUAUUAGAUAUUUAGACAUAGUUGGUAUUAUUUUUAGUUUUACUUUUAAUUAGUUUUUUCAAUUAGCUUUUACGCAGUAUUUUGUUAUUUUCUUUAGUGCUCACAACAGAUACCAGACAAUGAUUUUGCUUAGGGUCUCUUAUGUCUCUAAGCACCAGGUUAUAACUAGAGGAUAGUCUCAGUUCGUGAUGAAAUUGGUAUUAGAUCACAAGGUUUAAAGUGUCCUAGGGUAUUUGAAGGACGCAUUAAGUAGAGUCUUGUUCAUGGGUGUGAAGUGCACCACACUUAUGGGUGAGAGGACAUUAGAUAUUUUAAGAAAUAAUCUUUUCUUUCAUUGUUAGUUGUUGUGAGAUGGUGCAUAAACUCUAUUUAACUUCUUCUUAUAACUCAUCCUCUAUUCGCUUAUUAAAAAUGCCUACUAGAAGGGCCAACAAAAGGAAGAAUGGGGAUUAGCCAGGACCACUUCUAGUUCAAGAAGACCCUCUAAUUGAGCAGUUCUCCCAUGCUAAAGUUAGAGCUGUUUUCACAGCCUUAGACCAAUCCAUGGCUACCCAAAAUAACCAGCAGGCUGUUACCAAUGAAUAAGAUAACAACUAGUAUCCGAGACUUCACUUGGAUUAAUUCCUUGGUGUUUAUUGGAUCCAAGUCUGAGUAGGAUCUACAAGAGGUUUUAGAUUGUGUGUAGAAGGUGACUGAUAUCAUGGGUGUUACUUUGAGUAACAGUGGUAAUUUAUAUAUUUAUUAAUUUCAAGGAGUGGAUUAUACUUAGUUUAAGUAGUAAAAGAAAGAGAGAGGUGUGGAUAUAGAGCCUAUAGAGUGGGAUGAGUUUGCUACUGCUUUUCUGGACAAAUUUUUCCCACUUGAGUUGAGGGAGUCCAAGGUGCAAGAGUUCAUCAACUUGAAGUAAGGUAGCAUGAGCAUGAGGGAGUAUUCACUCAAGUUUACUUAGUUGGCGAGGUAUGCUCCUAACACGGUGGCUGAUUCUAGGGCUUAAAUGAGUUAGUUUGUAUCUGGUGUUUUAGAGGAUGUUGUCAAGAAGUGUAGAAUGGGUAUAUUGAUUAAGGAGAUGGACCUCUAUAUAUUGAUGGUUCAUGCUCAGUAAAUUGAGGAAGAGAAGCUCAAAGAGAAAAAAAGGGAAAAUAAGAUGGCAGAUUAGGUAGUUUCAAUAUCUCACAGCAGAGGUCAGAUGGUGGGAAUUAUUCUUAGUUUUGCCAAAAGUAUUCAGCCCCAACCCCAUCUUCUUCCAGUGCUCCAGUACCUAAGUUCUGAUAGGAUACUCAUGAUAGUGCACCAGGCUCUAAAUCUUAGGGUAGUAUGAAUAGUGGUCGCACUAAUCUAGUCUACAAAAGAUAUGGUAGAAACUAUAAAGGAAAGUGCAUUGCUGGUAGUGAUGCUUGUUUUGGAUGUGGACAGACAGGUCACAGAAAAAGGGAUUGCCCAAUGGUUGCAUCGAGAGGUAAGGAUCUUUGUCAUCAAGGUCAGGCUAACUCCUCAUCAGUCAAUAGGUCACCCAACUUAGCAAGGUGCUACUUCUAGUGCAGCCAGUGGCCAGCGGUAGAAUCGAUGUUAUGCCCUUCAAACCUAUCAAGAUCAGGUUAGUUCCCCUGAUAUGGUUACUGGUACGUUACAAGUCUUUCUUCUUCAUGUAUAUACAUUACUAGAUCUCUGAGCCAUGCUUUACUUCGUUACUCCUUAUAUAGCCAUAGAUUUUGGCAUCAAUACUAAAAUUCUUGUAGAACCCUUUUUAGUAUCUACUACAGUUGGUAGUUGUAUCAUAGCCAAUUGGGUAUAUAGAAACUUCCUAUCUCAAUAUCCCAGAAAGUUACCUUAGUUAAUUUUAUGGAACUAGAUACGAUCGAUUUUGAUGUCAUUCUUGGUAUGGAUUGGCUUCAUUCUUGCUAUGCUUCAGUUGUUUGUAGAAGCAGAAUAGUUCAGUUUUGCUUUUUAAAUGAGCCAAUCUUAGAAUGAAAGGGUUGUACCUCAGUACCUAUAGGUCCACUUAUCUCUUUUCUUAAGGUGAGGAAAAUAAUUUUCAUAGGGUGCAUCUAUCAUCUUGCUCGAGUAAAGGACUCAAGUUCUGAAAUCUUGAGUCUUGAUUCAAUCCCGGCUGUAAUUGAAUUUCUAGAUAUAUUUCCUAAAGAUCUUCCCAGGGUUCCUCUCGAGUGGAAAAUCAACUUUGGAAUAGAUCUCCUUCCAGAUACCUAGCCUAUUUCAAUUCUUCCUUAUAGAAUGACACCGACGAAGCUUAAGAAAUUGAAAGGACAAUUGAAGUGUCUCUUAGAUAAGGGUUUCAUCAGACCUAGCAUCUUUCUAUGGGGUGCUCCAAUUCUAUUCAUGCACAAGAAAGACAGUUCUCUUAGAAUGUGCAUCGACUACUGUCAGUUAAAUAAGGUCACAAUUAAGAAUAAGUAUCCUAUUCCAAGGAUUGUUGACUUGAUCGACUAACUUAAGGGUGCAACUUGUUUCUCUAAAAUAGGCCUCAGAUCUGGCUAUCAUCAGCUUAGAGUCAGGAUGUGUGACAUUCUAAAGACAGUUUUUGGAACUCAGUAUGGUCACUUUGAACUUGUAGUUAUGUAUUUUGAACUAACGAAUACUCCUACAACCUUUAUGGACUUAACAAACAGCAUGUUCAAGCAGUUCAUGGACAUGUUCAUCAUAGUCUUCAUAGAUGACAUACUCAUCUAUUCUCGUAAUGAAGGUGAGAAUGCAUACCAUGUGAGAGUUGUUCAGCAAAAAAUCAGCAGGCACUCAAGAAUCAUUAGUUGUUCACUAAGUUCAGCAAGUGUGAAUUUUAGUUGAAAUAAAUAACUUUCCUUGGUCAUAUUAUUUUACAGGUUGAUCCUCGAAAGACCAAAGCAAUAAGGAACUAGCCAGGACCCCUCUCUCUCUAUCAGUUAUCAAGCAUUUCUUGGGUUUAGUCAGUUACUAUAGAUGGUUUAUUGAAGGAUUUUCCUCUAUUUCCUCUCCUAUGUCCACACUGACUCAAAAAAAAGUAAAAUUUUUUUGGUUCAACUCUUUCGAGAAGAGUUUUUAGUAGUUGAAGACUCGUCUCACUUCUGCCCUAAUUUUGACUCCACCAGAGGGUUCAAAUGGUUUUGUAGUUUAUUAUAAUACUUCAAGAGUUGUCUUGGGUUAUGUGUUGAUGUACGUGGUAAGGUUAUAGACUAUGCCUCUAGACAGGUCAAACCCCAUGAGAAGAAUUAUUCGACUUAUGAUCUCGAGUUAGUAAUGGUUGUUUUUGCCUUAAAGAUUUAUAAGUAUUACCUUUAUGGGGUCUAUGUCGAUGUGUUUACUGAUCAAAAGAGUUUACAAUAUGUGUUCACCCAAAAAGAUCUAAAUUUUUGAUAGAGAAGAUGGUUGGAGCUAUUUAAAGAUUAUGAUGUAAGGGCCUUGUAUCACCCGGGUAAGGCCAAUGUGGUGGCUAAUGCCCUUAGCAGUCUAUCUAUGGGGUGUUUGAUCAUGUUGAGGAUGAAAAAAAAGAAUUAUUUCACGAGAUUCAUCAGCUUGCUAUGUUGGGAGUUUGGUUGGUCGAUUUGGCCAAAGGUAAUAUAUGGGUUCAAAAUAGUUCAAAAUUUUUGUUGAUUGCUGAGGUGAAGGCAAAGAAAGAUAGAGAUCCUAUUUUUCUUAAGAUGAAGGAGGCAGUUUUAGAAAGUUUAGGUUUCCACCUAAGGGGGAUAUGGCAUUCUUCGCUAUUAGAAUAGGUUAUGUGCUCUAGACAUUGAUGAUUUUAGACAACAGAUGCUAGUAAAGGCUUACAAUUCUUGAAAUUCCAUUCACCCAGGGGCCACUAUGAUGUACCGUGACUUUCAGAAAAUCUAUUGGAGGAAUGGUAGUAAGAAGGAUAUAGCUGGAAUUCAUGGCUAAGUGUUCUAAUUAUUAGCAUAUUAAAGUUGAGCACCAUAGGCCUAGUGGUACACUUCAGGAAUUCAGUAUCUCUACUUGGAAGAAGGAAGUGGCGAAUAUAGAUUUCAUUACUAAAACACCCUCGGUUCCUGUCCCUUGGAAAAUUUCUUGGAUUUCCGGUCUUUGGACAAGAUACGACUAGGGAAAAUGACUUGUACACUGGAAUAUAAGUGGUAUGGUUUAGUCGUAUACUGACUAGUAUUGGUUGGUGGAUUGGAUUUAGUUUCUGGAAUGGGUACGCUUGGGUGGUAUGCGCUGUAUCGGUGGGUAUAAAUUGAUUGGUUACUUCACUUAGUCUUACACUUGGUAACUUAAGUUGGAUCUGAAUACGAGUUUCUCACCAUGAUCUAUAAGCAAGGGUACGAGUUGUACUACGGUCUCGUAUGGUUGUCAUGUUCAAUCCUCUUGGGAUUCUAUUCUGCCAGGGGCAUGGAUCAUGGGUACUAGUCUUAUACUUGGAUACGACAUGGUUUGGGGUGAGUUGUACCUUGGACUGUGUUGGGUCCAAAGGAGAUGGCCUUGGUUACAAGUGGUGGGUACCACUCGUAUUGGAGGGUACGGCUGGUAUGGAUAGUUAUACCCAACUGAAGGGAUUUCUAGGAGUUUGAGGGAAAUCUGGAUAUUUCCCUACUUAACCUAAUAAGGCCCCACAACUUAUAUUUCUAUUGGGAGGUUAUUUUGCACUAACACUUAGAAACUUCUCUUAACACUCUACAAUUCUCUCUAAAGCUUUUGGGUAAAAGAAGGCUAGGAUUUUAUCUUAAGGAUUAAUCUGGGGCUUCCGUUGGUGAUUUCUCUCCAUCAUCUUCUUGGUUUAAGGCAUGUUCUCUUCCCUCAUUGUUAGUGCCAACUAAAGGCAUGGUUUUAUAUAAUGUUUCCAUGGUUUGAUUAGUGUAUGGUUUUGGAUUUUCAAAUAUAAUUUGUUUUUUUUUUAUAAAUGCUUGGUUAUGGUUUUCCCUUGUUUUAGUUAUGAUUUUAUAUGCUUUAAUGGUGGUUUUGGAUAAUUGGUUUCAUGGGAAUGGUUAUUUGAUAAUUGGCUUUGGUUUUGGAAAUACUAUGCCCCGAAUAUGUUUGCUAAAAUAAAAUGCCUAUGAGAAUGCUUUCACUACAUUGUUGUAUUUUAAUGGAAGUAUUUAAUGGUUUAAACUUCGUAAUGGAACCCUAAAUGGCUAAAUGGUUUGGAACGACUUAAAUGAAAUGGUUUGGUGGUCAUGGUUAUGGUUAAUUGCACUCCUUGUGGGGUACAAUAGAAUACCUAAGUAAAUAUGUUAAUGAACAACUUGUGGGGUAUGUGGGACUCCCCCAGGAAGCUUAAUAAUGGAACACUUGUGGGGUACAUGGGACUACGCCAUGUUAACUUGGUAAAUGGGUACACAGGAAUCCCUUUACCUUAAAAAGGUUUGGCUAAGGACAAUACUUGGAAGUUAUAGUUGGUAUAAUGAUACCACUACUCAUAGCCUUGGUAACUAAUAAAUGAAGUAUUGGAUUAGUUAGUUGAAAAUGUUUUUAAUUGGGAAAUAAUGGCGGGGUGCGAUAGCUAACCGUGAAGUGGGAGUUCAAUGAACAAACAAUAGAAAUUCAUAUUUGCUGACAUGAGGGGUAGGGCAUUGCGACCCUUUUAUGAUACUAUGAGGUAUGCGAGAAUCCUCUAAGUACAUUAUACGUAUGUAUCAUAGAGGGUGAGGGUACUUGGGAAUCCCUUACUCUUAUGGUAUUUUUGGUUCGUGUGACUAAACGCAUCAGAGCUCGUUCAAGGGGUUACAUUGGACCCAUAUAGCCCAUGGAUGGUUAAGGACGGUUAAGCUUCACAUACCCAGGUUAAUGGUUUUAAAUGCAUGCUAAACCCGGUUGCCUUUCCCGGCAUGGUUAUAUAUAUAAGUAUAGUUUGUGUUGGUUUACUUGGUUUUUCUAUUUGGAAUUAUUUUAUCCUAAUCCUGAGUUCAUGCUAGCGUUCACCUGCUAACCCAUCUUUGGGUGGGUGAUGAGUGGUGAGUUUACCACUCAAUUGCACUCAUUAUUCGUGUACAUUACUUUGUUAUGGAUGAAUAAAUGAAAUGUUAUAGCGAUUAGAUGCACUAAUAUCCAUUUUUUUCAGGAAUAAAGCUAAAGGGUUGGAAUGAUGUGGAUUGGAGAUCAAAAUAAUCAAAAAGGGAGCAAGGAAAUGCAGCUGAAAUCCUGAAAUAGAAGGGCCUCAGGUACCGCGGUCGCGAGCUACUGACAGUGGUUGUGACAGUCAAGGUUGUCACACAAAUGCGGUCGCAGAGGUAAACUACAAUUGCGUUGCCACGGUCACAGUCAGACCUACGCGAUUGCGGUCUAUCAGAGGAUUCAGCCCAAGGGCAAAACUAUAAUUACACGUGAUGGUCCCAAUUUGACAAAAAUGACUCAAACCCUAGCAUCAUGGAAAAUUUCAGUCUUCCCCAAUUUUUAGGUUUAAUUUUAGUGUAGUUGAUAGCCUCUAUUUUUUGGGAGAAGAAAAUAUUGUAUAAAUUUUGGGUGAAGAAUACAUUGGAGACUUUCUAAGUGGAAGAUUUGCUCACUUUCAUUAUUGAUAUUGUGGGAGAACCAAGUUUGAGGUAGCAUUUGGUUAAAUCUUCAAAAAUUAAAUUCAAUGAAGAUUAUGGGUAUAUCUAUGCUUAUUUAUCUUAUGUGUAGCUAAAUCUCCCUCUUGGGGUUAUGUGUGAAUAUGGGUUUAAGUGUGUGGGCUGUUAUGUUAGCAUCUUGAUAAUUCAUGUUUAUGGGUUCUAUAAUUGCUAUGCUAUUUUGGUUGGGAUUUGAUGGGUGAAAGCCCCAAAUACCCACAUAAGUUUGAUGAGUGAAAGCUCCAAGCUCUUGAAAGUUCAAGUCUAUCUUCGAAAGAAGGGUUUUUGGUGAACUUUAGAAAUCUACAUCAUUUUCGAAAGAAGGAUGUGGAGACCAAAGCAAUGGUAGACAAUCAUGUGUGUAGUUUGCUAAAUUUUCACUAUCUUUGACAUAAAGGUGAGUGUGAGAUUAACUAUGCCAUGGGUAUCAUCCUAGAAAUAGGGAUGCCUAGAUUGAGGUUGUGGUUACUAAUUGUUGAACACACCUAUUAGGUAUUCGAAAGAAUCAAUGGGUAAAAGUUUGGUGUUUUGUUGAAAGACUAGCAUCAAAAUCUAUAACCAAGCCUACCCGUAUUUGACUUGGUAAAUCGAUGUUGAUGACUAACUCCCACAUGUGCCCUUAGUAAUGCAUAAUCCCAAGAUCCUUGCAUAAUUGUUAAAACUCUAAUUAUUCGUAGCCCCGAAUAAUACUAGAAAACCCCCAAAAAAAUUAGUGUAGAAACCUAUCUCCCCCAUUUCAUCUUUUUGUGCCAUUUGUUUGAAUUUAACUUGUAUCUAUCAUUUCAAAUUAAUUUGAUCGCCACUCACAUUGUUCCUCGUGGAUUCGACCCCGAUUCAAAAGUUGGGUAAAUAUAUUUACGAUGAUCGCCUUGCACUUAAAUUGACAUGUAAGUUGAGCAUUUUCAAAAAUGGCGCCGUUGCUGCGGAACAAUUUGGCGUAUUAAAUUAGUUUAGAAUUUUAGUUACUUGCUUGAAUUCAAGCUUGCCGGGGAACAAUUUGGUGUAUUAAAUUAGUUUGGAAUUUUAGUUACUUUCUUGAAUUCAAGCUUUUAAAUAUUUGUUUGUGAUUUUCUUUUGUAGGUAGCUUUUUAUUUCAUUUUGUUUUAAUUUUAUUUUUUUAUUUUCUCUAUGGCAUUUUCUGGCAAAUAUGAUGUUGGUAGUUGGAAGUCCUAUCUUGACGAUCCAUGUCUAUAUUAUGACAAACCAUAUUUCAUAAGAGAUUACAACUAUGCUCCUUGGAGAGAGAUGGAUUCACCAUCUCGAUCCUAUAGGGAGUAUAGGUGCUCUUUAUGUAGUGGUCGAGAUGGACAUUGGAGUAAUUGUCCACGUGCCCCCUCCCCUUAUUAUACUAAUCGAGUUGCUAGUUCUUCGUAUCAAUUUGAUAGUUCUUCUAAUGAAGUGGAGCAAGAGCAAUAUUCUGGAUUCACUAGUCUUGGAGCAACGCUUCAAACUAUUUUGGAUCCAGAGGAUGCAAUAGGGGAGAAUAUACAACCUAUACAACAAGAGGCAUUAGGAUGAAAAAAUGUCAAGAUGGGGGAAAUGAUCAAAGAAGAAAAACUUUGAACUAUCAUUACCACGCCCAUUCCCCAAGAUGAGAUAGGUCAAAAAGAGAAACUAAGCUAUGAUGAUGAUCUUGGUAGCAAAGAAUCAAAGCAAACCUCUUAUGAUAACUCUAGCUCAUUUUGGGGUGACAAUGAUUUAGAGGAAGUUAACCCAAAAUUAGGUGUUGGACCUUGUUCAACCUACUUUUCAACAUUAGGCAUAAAGGAUGUGAUGAGGAUCCAUAUUUUUGACCAAAUGGAGAAUUGUGGGGAGGUGGAGUUAGACUCUUGUAUUUUGGAGUUUCCCAUUCCAAAAGAGUACAUAGAGCCCCAUCUAUCAAAGGCCAAGAUGCUCAAUUUCCAGUGUACAAAGAAUGGCCUAUUGAUGAUCACUCUUUUACUUAUAGAAUCAAUCUGGAAUGUAGAUAUGAAGUCGGGGAAAAGGUUCAAGUCUUAAAAAUGGCGGGAUCGAAGCUUGCUUGCCAUUUACCACCUCUUCCAAAUUGCCUCAUGGAAGAUUUGAAUUUUCUGUCCCUUUGUCGGUCAUUGCAUAUCGUCCAAAAGCUUGGAUGAAGAUUUAAAUACUCUAAGUGGAGACAUAAAAUAAAGGAGUGAAAGUGUCGUGCUACGAUGUUAAACUAAGCACUCGAUGGGGGACAAUCCAUCAUGCCAUGAAAAGUGGCACAUAUCCUUUUUCUUUAUUGCAAGAUAGAGUAGAAUUGAUUUUUAUUCUUGUUUCUGUGCAUACAUGGUCCAUAAAAUAUUGGUGCUUAGAGGCAUUUUGGUUGAAUUUGUACAUGAAUGUGUGAAACUGGCAAAUGGACUAAGUAAGGCAUGUAGGAGACCCGAUUUUGGACUCAGUUACUACAACCGCGGUCCAUGUCCCCGCAAUCACAGAGGCCAAAUGACCCCGAUCGUGGUACUAUGACCACAAUCGUGGUCUAAUCAGUUUAAAAAGACCAUAUUUAGAACUUGUGGCAUAGAAAAAAAAAGCCUAAAGUGGUAUUUUCACAGCUAGAUAACAUGCUUAAUUUUCAUAAUUACUGUGGUUGGCUAUUGUAAUUGGUGUACACAAUAACGGGGAAGUUUUUAGUACCUAUAAAUUUCACUUUAAACGGUUGAUAAAAUCGUGUUCAAAAUGUGUUUGAUUUUAAGGCCCCAAAAAAUCCAAUUCUAAUUCUUUUGAUUUUAGGGGCUGUAAUCACACAUUCUGGGCUUUAAUAAAAGUUUAGAAUGCUGUUAUGCCUAGUCAAAAUAGGAGAUUGGAGGAUAAAACUGCAUUUUGCAGUACUGUGCAGAAACUAUCAACUCAGUCUCAGGUACUGCGAUCGCGGUCCCGAUGACCGCGAUUGUGUCACCACAAUCGCGGUCAAAGCCCCAUGAUCGCCAUACCUGAGGGUUGGUUCUGGCCUACAAAAAAAUUUCUUCCAAUCGUUAGCUACCCCCGAAACCUUCUUUAACACCACCACAUGAACUUAUACGUUUGUUCUAGUAGAUUUUUGUGUAAUAACGCUAACGUUGGCAUAAGCUGCAUUACUUACAGGUUCUCAGAUUCAACAAUGGGAAUUUUUGACACUACUCGAUUCAUGGCCUCUCAAUGCCAGCACUCCUACUACGACGAUUAUCGCAGGACGAAGCUACUCCCUAAAAGAGGUGUAAACUUAGAUAAAGUAGAGGAGAAGUUACCAGAAUUCCAUGCCAGGCUCACUACUAUCCGAUGGAUGUGUUUUACCCCAAAAUCAUGCUAUACAAAUGAACAGUGGGUGCAUGAGUUCUACGCAAAUCUUAACAUAGUUGCACUCACAAACCCAACAAUGACAAUUCGAGGUAAGUUGGUGAACUUUGGAGCUGAGCUGGUCAAUACAAUGUAUGGACUCCCAAAUGCUAGCAUAGGGCAAUUUCAUGCUAAGGGAUGUGAGCCAGGGUCCUUGAUGGCUGAUGUCCUAUGUCCUAUGUCCAAGAAAGGCUGUCCCUUGGGCCAUAACCAAAAGAGAUAUUCUACUGAAUAACUUCAAAGCUGAAGCAAGGCUAUGGCUGAACAUCAUUUGCAUCAAAGUUUCUCCUUGCACUUAUUUAACUAUUGUCAUAGAUGCCCGAGCUCGGAUGGUGGCAUAUAUUCUGUCAGGAAUUGCUCUGAAUGUAGGAGAGAUUGUGAGUUUAGAAUGGUAGUGUAAAAGAGUUGUCUACCCUUUCCAUGUCUUAUAACUGAGAUGUGUAAAAGAGCAGGAGUAGUAGAGUAUGCUGUUGAUACUUAGAUGCGGCCAGGUUCCCUUAUCUACCUACUUAAAUUCAGAGGUAAGGGUGCCCCAGGUCAAAAUUAGAAAAGGAAAACAAACACGGGCAAAGCAGUCCAAGUGGACAUAGGUUCUUGCAGACCUUCACCAGCUGACCCACUCGAUGACCUCUCAGGUCAAAUAAGGGACGUUAGGAAGCUAGUGUCCAGGGUUUCUCAGGGACCAGGAGAGCCAUAAUACUUGCUACUCAUAUGUGUCUCGAUCCAAUUAUGACAAAUAUCGUGAGGAGUAGAAGAAGCAGGGAGCCACUAUUACCAGUCUAGAGAGAGCCUACUUAGCUUUGGCAGGAUUACAUAGAAACCUCAAAGAAUUAUAUGAGAAUAUGGUAAAGAGAGAGAAAAAGAGAGACAAAUUCUUUAAAAGUUGUGGAAGGGCGUAAAGUGCAUCUUUAAGGUGCUCAAACCCAAUGAGCGACCACCUUCACCGAGGUUGGACAGUGAACACGAGGCCCUUGCCGAUUUGUCAACUGAUGAUACUGAUGGUGAUGGUGCAGAGUCGACAGGAGAGAGCAACUCAUGAUGUAUAUUUAGGGAGACCCUUUUACUUUUACUUGAUUGCACUUUCAGUGUGGACACUGCGUUCUUAUGGUUGGGGGUGCCCCCGGAUAUUUACUGUUAUUUUUGGUUGAUGUGUUGGAUAUUGUUUUUAUUCUGUUUUGGCAGAUGCUUCAUUAUUGAGGCACUUUGAUGGUGCCCAUGUUUUAUGGAUUAUUAUGUUUUUCUUUUAUUAUUAGUAUGUUUUUGGUUUAAUUUUAUUCUAAUAUUGUUGAUGCACGAUUAGCUUUUCCCUAUGAUGGAUUGAGUGAUGACACUCUUAAGGGUGAAACAUCAUGUUUAGGUUUGAGACAUAGGUGCAGGGGAAUUCUAAGUACCCGUAGCAUUAAGUGUCAUUAAUAAAGGGAAUCCUGAGUACCUGUAGCAUUAUACUUUGUUAAGUUGGGGUCACUUUAUACUCCAUUGGCGAAGUCUGAGUAGCCAUAUGGUUAGCUUGCCUAUUUUUGAGCCAAGAUUUGAGAUUUAGGCUUUGGUUGUAGCCAUAGUUUAGCAAAUUGUGCAUGGUGUUAUUGCAAAACAAAGCCCACUUGUCCAAUUUGUUUUUCAAAAAUCAAGGGCAUAGACAUGAGAGACUUUAACAAUUUUUUUUCUUUUUUUAUGACUCCGCAUUGUGUUGACUUGUAAAUAGUGUUAAAUACUCCAAUUUUGUCUCUCACGGGAGGGACAAUUGAACCUCUUUGAUAAUUUUGCAUGCCAUGUGUGGUGAGUUUUUUUUCAUGCGUUUCAUGUAUACUUAUGUUAUCUAGAACUUGCCAUGUUAGUCUUUCAAAGCUAAUGUUGAUUGUAUUUGGUUAGAGAAAUGACCUUAGGCCACCUUUGUGAUUUUGGAACCAACUCUAGCCUAAAAAGCCUUGCUAUGCAUAAUUGAAAUCCCUAGCUGCCUACUUUGAGCCUUUGGACCUUUCUUUGACAAACUCAUUACAAGUCAUGAACCACCUUUUAUCCCUUUUUUGAACCGUACUGUACCCUCUUUGAACUUGAAAAUUCAACUUGAGGCUAAAAGCCUAAGUUGGGGAUGGUAAAGUUGGUGAAAGAAAGUUUGAGGCCACGAAGUGUUACUAGAAAGCCAAGGUGCCUAAGUGAUGUAAACAAAUAUUUAGAAAAAGAAAGGAUCUAAUAAAGGUUAGAAUUGAAUGAAAGGUUCAAGAAAAAGAGAUAAAGUAAGGUGGUGAACAAAUGAAGCAAAUUGUAGGCAUGAGAAAAGAGAAAAAACAAAGAAGAGUGGCCAAUAAUAAAAAAGGAAGAUUGAAAAGUGUGAUGUUUAUGUUCAAGGAAGGGAGUAGCCAUGUUGUUCCCAAACAAUAUCCUAAGCUAACCUAAACCUAUAUUACAAGCUUGGAAAGUCUUUCAAGAUCUCCAACCAUUUACUUUCUUUGUAGUGGCGAUUGAAAAUAGGGGAAAGCCUAUGGUAUAACACUUGUUUCAUUGAGAUUUUAUUUGUGUAAGAGAGAGUUUGUGCACUUAAAAUUCCUUGUUGCAUAUUUUGUAUCUUGAUGUGAGGAGUUCUCUUUUUUGUGAGGACAAUAUGUGAGACAAGUUGCGGUGGGCGAUCUUGUCACCUCUCGGCAAUGAGGCAAUGGGAGUAUAAGUUAGUUGUGGCUAAAAAGGGAGUCACUUCUAGAGUAUUGGUUUUUGUUUUUGGGUCGCUCUUUGAAGUCCUAUGUAGCCAUGGUUUUAAUAUUUUAGAAGGAGGGGUGUACCAAAAUUAGCUUAGCCCAUGUGCAAUGAGUUAUUUGUAGUCGCGAUUAAAGUCGAGGACAUUGUGAUCUUUAAGGCAUAAAGGUUAGGCUUAAAUGAUUGUGUCUCAUGAUAAGAGGUAAUGUUGCUUGAGGACAAACAAACACUUUAAGUUGGGGGGGUUGAUGAGUGGUGAGUUUACCACUUAAUUCCACUCAUUAUUCGUGCACAUUACCUUGGUAUGGAUGAAUAAAUGAGACGUAAUUGUGACUAGAUACACUAAUAUCCACUUCUUGUAGGCACAAAGCUAAAGGGUUGGAAAGAUGUGGAUUAGAGCUCAAAAUGAUCAAAAAGGGAGCAAGGAAGUGUAGCUGAAGACCUAAAACAGAAAGGCCUCAGGUACCGUAGUUGCAAGCUACUGAUGCGGUCGCGAUAGUCAAGGAUGGUCACUCAAACGCGGUCGCGGAGGUAAACUGCAAUCACAUGGGCGAGGUCACAGCCAAACCUACAGGAUCACGUCCUAGCAGAGGAUUUCAGCCCAAGGGUGAAAUUGUAAUUGCACGUGCUGAUCACAAUUUGACAAAAAUGACUCAAACCCUAGAAUCAUGGAAAAAUUCCAUCUUUCCUAAUUUUUAGGUUUAAUUUUAGUGUUGUUGAUAGCCUCCAUUUUUUGGGAGAAAAUAUUGUAUAAAUUUUGGGUGAAGAAUACAUUGGAGACUUUCUAAGUGGAAUAUUUGCUCACUUCCAUUGUUGAUAUUGUGGGAGAACCAAGUUUGAAGUAGCAUUCGCUUAAAUUUUCAACAAUUAAAUUCAAUAGAGAUUAUGGGUAUAUCUAUGCUUAUUUAUCUUAUGUAUAGCUAAAAUCUCCCUCUUGGGGUUAUGUGUGAAUAAAGUUUUAAGUGUGUGUGGGCUGUUAUUAUUAGCUUCUAUUUGUUCAUUCAUGUUUAUGGGUUCUAUAAUUGCUACGCUAUUUUGGUUGGGAUUUGAUGGGUGAAAGCCCCAAAUACCCUGAUGGGUUUGAUGAGUGAAAGCUCCAAGAUCUAGAAAGUUUAAGGCCAUCUUUAAAAGAAGGGUUUUGGGUGAACUUUAGGAAUCCAUAUCAUCCUCGAAAGAGAGAUGUGGAGACCAAAGAAAUGGUAGGCGAUUGUGUGUAGUUUGCUAAAUUUUCACUAACUUAGACAUAAGGGUGAAUGUGAGGUUAACUAUACCAUGGGUAUCAUCCUAGAAAUAGGGAUGCCUAGAUUGAGGUUGUAGUUACUAAUUGUUGAACACACCUAUUAGGCAUUCAAAAGAAUUAAUAGGUGAAAGUUUGGUGUUUUGUUGGAAAAAUAGCAUCAAAAUCUAUAACCAAGCCUACCCGUAUUUGACUUGCUAAAUCAAAGUUGAUGACUAACUCCCACAUAUCACUCCCUUAGUAAUGCAUAAUCCUAAUAUUCGUCCUUUAUUGUUAAGACUCUAAUUAUUCGUAGCCUCGAAUUUAUACUAGAAAAGCCAAAAAAAAUAUGUGUAGAAACCUAUCUCCCCUAUUUCAUCUUUUUGUGCCAUUUUAUUGAAUUUAACUUGUAUCUAUCAUUUCAAAUUAAUUUGAUUGCCACUCAUAUUAUUCCUCAUAGAUUCGACCUCGACUACAAAGUUGGGUAAAUAUAUUAACGAUGAUUGCCUUGCACUUAAAUUGACAUGUAAGUUGAACGUUAUCAGUGGGUGUAUCCACACGUGAUACAGGAACCAAUUGUUCUACUCCUCCUAUUUAGCUAUUGUACAUUCAGGAUCAACUACUGGAUUGAAGUGGUGUGCUUUCAUAUUUCAGAAGGCUCCAUUUCAUGUAUGUUAUUUUAUACUUUAGUUCAUUUAUGGAUUUUGGUUUUUUCUAUGGUUGGGGGCAUGUUCCAACUGGAUUUUGGUAUUCUUUUGGUUAAAUGAUUUUGUGGAACUACUAUGGGUUGGUAUGGGUGAGAUAGCAUUGGUGUCAGCCUUGUUAUUGGCAUUGGUAUUGGGGAUGAUAUCGAAAGACUAAAUUUCUCACUGUUCCAUACUCUUUUAUUUUGGGAUUAUAUUAAACUAUUAUGGAACUAAUAUGGUUAUGGUUUGUGGUUUGGUUUGGGUAUUGAUUGGGUUUGGAAGGUUGGACUUGGUCUCAGUAAUAGACCUAUCCCAGAAUCUGAAAUUUGGAUAGUUAUUCUAUCUUGUUAUAUGCUUGAAAUUCAGCCAACUCAGGGCAGACGGUUGGAGGUUGGGUUGGGUAACGGGGUGUCUCUGAUCUCGAUCGGUCUUGGGAUACCCAUUACGAUAAUGCCCUGGGUCGGGUUGUGUCAAGUUGGUUUCAAAGCUUUAGGUUUAUGGUCAAUUAGGAGUUCACAAAGUUGUGUCUAGUCGAUUCUCUUUAUGGGUGUGUAGCACACCACACUCAUAAGAGAGAUGCGACAGGGCAUUUAGGAGUGUUUUAUUUUCUUGGUAUUCUGCUUUCAAGCUUGGAGUAUAAGUCCUGGAAUUUCCUCUAAUCCUUGUUUGUUCACUUUUUGGAUCAUGCCUAGUCUUUUUGGAACACAUGGAAAUCCUUUUGUCCCAUCUAGGGAUGAUGUUGAUGGAGUAUGCCCUACACCUGGAGUUCGCCCUACACCUGAUGCCAUAAGGGUUGACUAGUUUAAUUAAAUGAAUCCUUCUACUUUUACUGGUGUAAAGGUGGAGGAGGAUCCUCAGGGUUUCUUGGAUAAAAUGGAGAAGAUAUUUAGAGUGAUGCAAGCCUAGUACAUGGAAAGGGUAAAUUUUGUAGUUUAUCAGCUCAAAGAUGUUGCAUACCAAUGGUACGAGGAGUGGGAUAGGGAUAGAGGUGAUAUGGAGGAGUUCUUUUUGUGGGAAGCCUUUUCUAAUGCCUUGUUGGAUCACUUUUUUCCUCAGGAGCUGAGGGAAGAGAAGAUGGAGGAGUUUGUGAAUCUUAAUCAGGGAAAAAUGUCUGUCAAGGAGUACGUCUUGAAAUUUUAUCAGCUGUCAAGGUGUGCUCCAGAUUUGGUGGCUGAUAUAAGGGCGAGGAUGAGAAAGUUCACUUCUGGGAUAUCUCGAGAUUUAAUCCUUAAAAGUAAGACUACUUUGCUGACUAAGGAUAUGAAUAUUUUGUGGUUGGUUGUCCACAUACAAUAGGUGGAGGAUAAAAAAAGGAAACAAGCAUAGUUUGGGGAAAGGCAGGGUAAGAGGAGCAGGUUGAUAAUGCUCAACUCACUCCCAUAAUUGAGGGGUGAGGUAGACAUUGUCAAGUAACCCAAUUCAAACUCUAUGGCUGUUCAAAUUACUACGAGGUUACCCGGAAUGCUAACAAAAAUGACAUGGAAAAUAAAAUGGGGGAAUUGUUUGGAAACUUAUUGUAGAAUCUUUAGCAAAUGAUCAAAAGAUGUCACUUUCGUUUUAAGCAACGAUGUUGGGGGAAAUCUUGGGUUAUGUUUACCUAAAGGUAAAAGUAUGUUGGUUAAUGAUGGUUUAGAAUGAAAUUUAGUUGCUAACUAAAGGAUAGGCUAGGUUGAAGGUCAUUGUGGUUAAUCUUUCAGUAAAACCACAACGAUUUCACCAGUUGGCUCUUUCGAGCACCUAACAAGUGUGAAAUUUUUAAUCACCCAAAACCUCAAUCAAUCAUCCCUAUUUCUAGGAUGAUGCUCUUUACAUGAUUUACACUCCUAAUACACUUAUUUCUAAGAUUGCAAAAGAGAGCAAACCAUAGGCUUAAUUGUCCACCAUUGCCUUGUCCCCCUAUAACCCUCUUUCAAAGAUAGAUAGGUUACCUCAUAUUCACCUUCAUCCCUCUUACGAGGAUGAUAAAGGGUUUCUAGAGUUUUGGAUUUUCACCCAUCAAACCCAUUUGGAUAUUUGGGGCUGUCAUCCAUCAAAUUCCGACUCAUAAGCUCAAGCAAUGGUAAAAUCUUUACUUUACAACUAAAAAUCAUGCAAACAUAACAAUACCCACACACAAAUUACACUAUAGUUCAACAUAAUCUCAAGACUAAAUUACUUAGCUACUCAUGAAGAAAGUAAAAAGAGAUAUACCAUAAGGAUUAUCCAAAGCAUUCAUUCUUCACAAAAAUGCUAAGAAAUAAAGCCUCCAAAAUUAGUUACACACUUGCCCAAUUAGGGUUUCAAGCUUUCAAUUCAAAAUAUCUUAUGAAGUAAGCAAUACCCAAGAAGAAAGAGUUUUUGCUUAUAUAUGGUUUGGGAUCCUUUUAAGUACUUUUACAGAUCUUCCCCUAGGCAUAUUCCUACUGAACCGCGAUCGUGCAAGAUUGUCCGCGACCGCGGCCACACGAUUGUGGUUGUGUGCCGCGAUCGCAUUGUGUUGACCAUCUUAACUGACCGCGACCGUGGAUUGAGGACCACGAUUAUGGUAACUGAGGUGAUGUAGUCCAGGUCUUUAUCUGCACUCUUGUUUGCUCCCUUUUUAUAAUUUUUAGCCCCAAUCUACAUCUUUCGAUCUCCUCAACUCUAUGCCUGCAAAGAGUGGAUAUUAGUGCAUUUUAUCACCAAUAUGUAUCAUUCAUUUAUUUAAAACAAGGUAAUGUGCACAAAUGUUUAGUGAGAAUGAGUGGAAAAAUCACCCUUGAUUAACACCCCCAACUUAAGAGCUUGCUUUUCCUCAAGCAACACUACCCCUUAUUAUGAGACAACUCAUAUGUAUGCCCUCAUUCUAUCACACAAUGAUCAUGAUGACUCAAACUUGAUUUCUAGCACCCAAAUCUUUUCACACAUAGGUAAAUAAGCUUUUAACGACUCCCUUCACCAUAAGAUGAAAUAACGAAGGAUGUAAUAGACUUAGGGGAGCAACCAUGUAACAACCACUAACACUCUAGAAAUAACUCAUAUGUUGACUUCAAUUAUGCAAUACUUCUGAUUAUCUCAUUGUGCGGAAGAUAAUAAAAUCACUCACCCCAACUAGUUGACAUGCCCCCUCACAAGAAAGGAAAAAUUCACAACCAGUUACCAAGCAUGUAAUAAGGAAUUUUAAGUACAAACACACUUUCUGUCAAGAAAUUCUCCAUGUUAAUAAGUACCAUACCAUCGGCUUGUCCCUAUUUUCAAUCACCACUACAAUGACCACACUUGGUUGGGAAUCACAAAGGAAUUUUUGUUUAGGGUUUGGGUAGGAUAUAAUUUGGGAAUAGCAUGGCUACACCCCUCCUCGAACAUUCACAUCACACUUUUUCAAUCCUCCUUUUUGGCUAAGGACCACUCUUAUUUAAUUUCUUUCUUUUCCCCCGCCUACUAAUAGCUUCCUUUGUGCACCACUUUUCUUUCAUUUCUUUUUCUUGCAACUUAUGCGUACUUCAUUCCUUUGAUGGACUCAUUCAUUUUCUAUUUAUUUAUUUUUGCAGUUCAAGCUCAUGAGGCAUUUCACUAACAACUUUGUAGCCUUACACUUUCUUCCAUAAACCUUUACCACCCCCAACUUAGGCUUUUAUCCUCAAUUUACUAUAUUCAAAGAGGGUUUGGUUCAUAAGAGAGAUAAAAAGAAUGGACGCGGGUUGUAAUAAGUUUGCCAAAGAAAGGUCCAAAGGCUCAUAGUGGGUACUAAGGAUAAUUAUGCAUGGGUAGGAUUUUUAGGCUAGAGUGGGCUUUCAAAUUCACAAGAUGGCCUAUGAUCAUUUUACCAACCAAGCACCAUCAAAAUAUAGCUUUGAAAGACUAAUGGGGCAAGUUCUAGAUGGUACAAGUACACAUGAGAUGAAGACAAUUAACCUCACACACAUGGCAUACAAAUGUUGUCAAGGGGUUCAAUUAUUCUACCCGCUCGAGACAAAGAUGGAGUAUUCACUAUUUUUCUAAAGUCAACUUUCAGAGUCAUAGAAAGAGGUAAAGAUUUUAUCACAAAGUUGCUCAUGUCCAUGCCUUUGAAUUUUGCAAAAAUUUCCAACAGAGGGGAUUGUUUGCUUUUGUAUUCGGACUACACAUAAUUUACUAAUCCUGGCAACCAACCAAGCUAUCGUCUCAUAUUGAAAAUCAUAGUAAGGGCGACCUACCAUAUGAUUGCUCAAACUUCACCAAUGGAUAAUAAUGCAAUCACAGUAUAUCAAUGCCACAAGUACUCAGACUUUUCUUGAAUUCUAUGGCCUAGGUGCCACGAGUACUCAGAAUUCCCCUGUAUGCAUGGUUAGAAAACCCAAUCACAGUAAAACUAAAAUAAAGUAACAAACCCAGAACAAAAUAGCUAAUCCAUGCAAGUGUGGGCAUCAUCAAAGUGCCGGAUUAUUACAACCCAAAUAAAAAUAAAGAUAAGAAUUAUCCAAAAGAGCAGAAAAGUAUGCAGAAAUAUCAAUAAUACAUGCCCAAAUUAAAUAAAUAAUAAUAAGGAGACACCCAUAACUGAAAAGAUAGCAGUGUCCCCACUACAUAAAUAAUCAAGCGUAAAAGAGAUAAGGGUGCUCCUUGAAACCACAUCAAGGGCUGCUAUCACUAUUGGACUUUGCAUCACCACCCUCUUCCUCGAGAUUGGACCACUCGGUUGGGGCCUUAUUGUCAUUGUCUACCCAAGAAUAAGGAAGUUUAUCUCAGGGCCUUAUAACCAUCCAUAGGCCCUUCAAUAUCCUGAUAUAGAAUUCAUCCCUCUUCUUUCCCUUGUAACCAUUUUUUCAUGAACGAUCCAGAGGUCUCGAUCUGACUCCACUAAAGAGGAGUAGACCUUUUCAAGCUUAUCAAUGGUAGAUUCUUGCUUCUUUUUGUCCUUCUUGCACUUCUCAUAAUUGUUACAUGAUACAUAAGAAUGAUGAGCAGUAGAAGGCUCUUCCAAUCCUUGGGGAAAACUAGAUACAAGCUCUUUGAUGGUUGGAAUAUUUACUCUGAUCUCCUCAAGGGGUCUUGUGGUGGUUGGCCUAUGAGACUCAGGCUCACUGCAUGCCGGAUUUUCCAAGUCGAUCUUUUUUUUAUUGCUUUUGCUGGGAGCGCCCUCACCUCUAAUCCUCAAAGGGUAAAUAGGGGCAUUAAGGUGCACCCAUGUAUCACGAACAUACUCUUCCACCCCCGCUCUUUUACAAAGAUAUAUAAUCAUGGAGGGGAAGAAUAGAUGUGUACCACCUUGGUCCUUGAAAUCAUCUAUCUCAUUAACAAUGAGUUGACCAACACUAGUGGGAUGCUGUCUAGAAUAAAUGGAACCAUCCUUGCAUGCAAUCUAGAGACUGCUAUUAUGUGGGAGCAAGGAGAAACUCGGCUAUAAAUGAUGUGCAACCAUAUCCGAUCCUCGAAAGUAAAGUCGUUUAUAGAAAUAUUUCUUUUAGUAUUGGUCCAUGAGACUUCCUUUUUGGGGCAUAGUUGCUGUGCUAACCAACUCCCUGAUUUACACCCUUUUGCUUUGAAUUCACUCAUGUCAGUAUCCUUGAGCCCAUAAACAUCAUUGAUUUGCUUAGCCCUGACUUUCACCGGCUUUCCGUGAAUCUUAGCAGUCACAUUAAGUGGAUCCAAAGAAAAGACUUCACCUAUGUUUGCAUAAAAUUCACGGACCCAUUGCUCUUUUGAAAUGCAAAGAUUCGGGGUGAAGCAUAAUCACCCAAUGUCUUCAAGUUUAUCAUGAAGUGCCGAUAGUUUCUCCAAAAUAUUUUCCAAGCAAAUUCCUCUCUCUAGAAGAAGCUUUCUCCUUGGAAGAUCCAUUUAGUAAUGAGUAUGGCACUCGGGUGCCAUGAAUCGGAUGUGAUCAUACUUAUCCAUGAUGUUGUCCUGAAAGAACUAAGCACACAUUAUACAUUUUGAUGAUAUUUUAAUCAUGCAAACUGUGCUAUAAAUAUCACUAGAGUUCAUUAGGCUAGGUGCUUGGUAUUGCUUGACUAAAAAUUUAAAAUGCAGGAUUUAUGGCAUGGCAGGAAACUGUCCUCAGGUAACACAAUUGUGAGUUAGGACCACAUUUGCAUUUACCAUAAUUACGAUCUAUGACCGCGGUCGCGCUACCUGAGGGGUUCCAUCUAAGCUCUGCAUGUUCAGGUUUCUUCUAAAUUUAAGCUACUAGUAUGUUCUACAAUAUGGAUGCAUAUAAAGAUCAUUGGAACAAUGCUAACAAUUGUUUGAAUGUUCCCUUUAGAAAGCAAAUAUUAAUAUUGAAAGUUCAUUUGAGUAUUUUAUCUAAUACUUGGUAUGCAUAUCUCAUUUAUCUACCUAUUUCACACAUCAUUGGGUACGCAUGAUUUACCCACUUAUGUGUACACAUUAAUUAAACAGCCAACAUCAUACCAAUACCAAGUAUGAUAACAUGGAAAGCAUAACAAUCAAAGUUUUAGGCUCUUCUUAAUCAUGCAUUCUAUGGCUUAUUUUUGAAAGUAAAGGCAUGGAUUCAUGUCACCUACCAGAUUUAUGAUGCAAAGAAAUGCAAGGAUGUUGUUAAACUAGGGAUUAAAUGGUAGAAGUGGCCGUGACCGCGGUCAAGGGACUGCGAUUGUGGACACCUACAUAACUGCAAUCGACGUAACUGAGAGCAAUUCUGCUCUUCUAUUUUCCCUUGUUCAGCAUUUUACUCAAUUUUGACACAUUCUCCCCUAUUCAACUAUUCAAUACACUCCAUAGUGCCACAAAUGCAUGGGUUAUUCAUAUGCAAAAGAUUAUAUCUACCCUACAAAAACAUAACAAAAAAGGAUACGAGCCACUCUCGUGGCAUUUGUGGGUUGCCUCCCACCUAGCGCCUGAAUUAUCAUUGUGGCACUACGUCUUCCUUUCUUCAUUGUCAAGGUGGGUCUUUGAACCCCUCCUCAUUCAUUUUCAUAUUUUCAACAUCCACCAUAGAUACUACUUGCAACUCCACGGUUUGCUUCUUUGACUUGCAAAUUUAGAAAGAGACCUCAUCCUCUUGCAUUCUAAAUUUUAUCUCCCCCAGCUCUAGAUCAAUAAUCAUUCUCUCGGUGGACAAGAAAGGAUGACCAAUAAUGAUAGGCACCUCUUGUUCCAUUUCACAAUCCAAUACCAUAAAAUCUGCCGGGAAAUAAACUUGUCCACUUUUACAAGGACAUCAAACAAUAUACCCACCGACCUUUUUAUAGAUCAGUCUGCCAUCAAAAGCCGUAUAGAGGUUGGCAUCGGGGUAUCCAAACCAAGUUUCUUAUAUAUGACAAAAGGCAUUAAGUUGAUGUUCACACCAAAGUCACAUAGAGCUUUUGCAAAUUCAUGCAUCCCAAUUGUGCAAGGAAUAAUGAAUGCUCCAGGGUCAUAUAUUUUUCCGCAACCUUGCUAUCCAUGAUAGUGCUACACCCAUGAGUGACCUCAAUUAACCUUCAAAAAGUUUCUUCUCUGACGUCAACUUUUUCAUCAACUUAGUGAAUCCCGAGAUUUCUUGGAUAACUUUAAGCAAUGGGAUGUUUAUCAAUAGGUUGCUAAGUUUGGCCAUGAACUUCCUUAAUUAGUCAUUUUCCUUUUUCUUAUACAAAUAUUGGGGAAAUGGGUGAGAAACUUGGAUGGUUGGUCUUGCUUUAACUUGUGGCCUUUCAACUUCAACCACCUCCUCAUCGCUUUCAUUGAUCUCUUUUUCAUAAUUUGCCUCACUUCUUUGAGGCGUCACCAUCUUUUCUUUGGCCUUGGGCAUAUUCUUACUCACGUUUCCUCUAAAAGGUCCUCAAGUGAUUUUCCACUCCUUGUGAUAAUUGCUAAGACUUGAGUGUCGUUCUUUAGGUUAGCAAUUGUGUCACUCAGAAGUCCACCUCUAGGUAUAGCAUUUAAUUAGAUGGAUAUUUGCCCCACUUACGUCUCCAAUUGCUUGAUAGAGGCGGAGUGAGACACCACUAUUUGAGAGAGUUAGGAGAAAUCACCCUUCAACUCACGGACCAUCUUGUCUAUGCCUUCUACUCUUUUAGGGUAAAUGACACUAGAUUCCUUAGAUUUAGCUUAAUCAUGAGGAGGGACAUAACGGUCAUAAUCAUGUUGACGAUCUCUCCAAUCUUGUUUCCCACCUUGCCUUUAAUAGGUCGGGUGGGAACCCCUCAAGUAGUUUGCCAAGUAUCAGAUUUAUUCAUCUAACUUAUUUGCCUCUACAUCAUCUUUAUAAGAUUUCAAUGCUAUGGAAUUUACCUCUUUCGCGGGUGCAUCCAUAACAUGCUUCAUCAAGAGCUUAAGUUGGGUCAUCAUUUUGGCCAUGUUCUCCUCCUUUUCUUUUUCUCGUUUUCUUUGUUCAUUAGCCACCACAGAGGUAGUAGAAGGGGUUUUGGAAGCUUUGAUAUCUCGGGUGUUCCAAACCCAAUUUUAUUUUGAUAUUUCUCCAAUCAAUUGAAAGGCCGCAAGAUAAUGCAAUCUCACUAUAGAGCCACCCACCGCAUUAUCCACCACUGUUUUGUUUAAUGGAUCAAGAGCCCUAUAGAUAAUCUUGAGGAGCAUUUUUUUUGGGACCUCAUGAUUGGGGCAUUGGACUAACUUUCCAUUAAACCUCUCCUAAGCUUCAAAUAAUGGUUCUCCAUUCAUUUGCCAAAAGUUCACAAUCUUAUCCCUCUUUUAAAGCAUUUUUUAUGGUGGGAAGUAUCUACCAAGAAACACUGUGGUAAGCUCUUACCAUAAUGUGAUUGAGACGGGUGGAAGUAAGAAAAGCCAUAAAACUGCCUCACCCGUUAGUGAGAAUGGGAAAAGUCAAAGCCGAAUGGAUUCUUAUGUAAUAUGUGCUAUGUUAAAUGGCGCACAAACUUCCACAAAGUUCUUCAAAUUGACAUUCGGGUCCUCAUAUGCUUGACCCCAAACAACCCUUUUAUUUGCAACAUAUGAAGCAUAACGGUAGUCACAUGAAAUACUCUAUUCCCAUUGGUUUAUGGGAUACGAAUUGCAUUUGUUUGUCCCACUUUAUUUAAUUGGCCUUCAUUAUCAAGAAGGGCAUAAAAGGGGCCUAUAUUGCUUGCAUUAUCGCUCAUUGCUCCAUUUAAACUUUGAUCACCUACAAAUAAUUUAAAAACAACAAAUAAAUUAAAUUACACUACUUCGAGAAUUCCCAAGUAAGAAUGAUACGACAUAAGCAAAAUCUAUAUUUCACUCUCCAGCAACGACACCAUUUUGAUAAUGCUCAAUUCACUCCCAUAAUUGAGGGGGGAGGCGGUCGUUGUCAAGUAACCCAGUUUGAAUUGGGGUGAAUCUCAAGAAGCGAAUGCUACUCAAAUCCUGUGGGUGUUUAAAUUACUAUGAGGUUACCCAAAAUGCUAACAAAAACUACAUGUAAAAUAAAAUGGAUGAAUUGUUUGGAAACUUGUUGUACAAUGUUUAGCAAUUGAUCAAAAGAUGACAUUUUUGCAUUAAGCAACAAUUUUGGGGGAAAUCUUAGGAUUAUGUCUACCUAAAGGUAAAAGUAUGUGGGUUAAUGAUGGUUUAGCAUGAAAUUUAGUUGUUAACUAAAGGAUAGGAUAGGUCGAAGGUCAUUUUGGUUAAUCUUUUGAUAAAACCCCAAGGAUUUCAUCUGUUGGCUCUUUCGAGCACCUAACAAGUGUGAAAUUUAUAAUCACCCAAAACCUCAAUCAAGCAUCCCUAUUUCUAGGAUGAUGCUCUUAACAUGAUUUACACUCCUAAUACACUUAUUUCUAAGAUUGUAAAGGGAGCAAACCAUA